UAUGACACCAACAAUUUAUCUAGUACAUCAUAUAUGCUAAAGCCAACAAUUUCCACAUGUUGUAUAAAUUUGUAUAGCCCUCCAUCCAUUAAAGAUCACAUCUUGUCACCUUUAUAAUUCAUAGGUAGGUAUAAAAAAAACUUCAAUGAUAGGCAAAUCUCCAAUUUUGUCAAUACAUCUCCAUGCCAUAUUUUUAACAGUCUAGAAACCAAACAUAAGAGAAAAAUGUAACAAUCAAAUUAUGAAUA
rnacentral:misc_RNA from 1 species